UAAGUCUAGCCUAUUUAUUAACAAACAGAUUAAAGUUAUUACAAAUAAAAUAAUCCCAGAAAAAUAAUUAAAAUGGCCUUAUUACAACUCAAAACCAAACAAUAAUAUUAAUAAGAUAAAACUUAUAAAGAAAUAAAUCAGUUACUUAUUGCAAUUAAAAGAAACAGAAAUAGUAAAGUGGCCAUCUCCGAGUUCCUCGCAGCUCCAAACCAUCUAAGCUUAGGGAUUACCUGCACAGUUAGAAACGGGGUGAGUUUACGAAAACUCAGUGUGUAAUCCCAAUAACAAACAAACAGUGAAAACACAGUAUCAGUACAAUAUGGGCCAAAGCCCUAUUUAGUCUUGACAUAUACUGGGCCGAAGCCUUUCAUUUAACGGUUACUGGGCUGAAGCCUUUUCAUAAAUCAUAUCACUUGGCCGAAGCCUUUUCAUAAAUCAUAUCAUUGGGCCGAAGCCUUUACUGUAAACGGUAUGGACCUUAGGCCCAUUUCAAUAUCACAUGUAAUGUCAAUGGAUGUAUGCAAGCCCAUUUGGGGAGACUACUCGACCCACCAUCCGCUACUCUCCACCCAUACCAACCAACACACCAUGUGGGGAAUGAUUCAACCCACCCAACCAACACACCUCUGGCAGCAUAGCUGCUUUAUCAUAUAUUUGGAGGCCUAGCCUCUUUUAAUAACUGGGGCAAAGCCCUUUUCAGUAAACUGGGGCAAAGCCCUUUUCGAUAAACUGGGGCAUAAGCCCUUUUCAAUAAACUGGGGCAUAAGCCCUUUUCGGUAAACUGGGGCAUAAGCCCUUUUCAAUAAACUGGGGCAUAAGCCCUUUUGCACUUCCUCUAUCCAUAUAAAAACCCAACCAAAUGCAACAUGUCAUGUAUGUAGAAUGUCAUGCCCAUAUUUGAAUAAACAAUCACAGUCAAGUCAUUCAUAUCACCAACAUAUAUUCACAAUCAAUCCGUCAACCACACAGUCCAAGUCAGUCACUUGCCUACAAGGGCAAAACAGUCAUUUUUCACAUUAUAAGGGUAUUUUCAUAAUUUUACCAAAUAUCAGGAUUUUCCAUGUUCAUUACAAUUAUCAAUAUUUUCGAGUGUUUAAACAAUGAUCUUUAACCCACUUUAUCAAAUUCGGGCUUUUGGGCCCAGAACCCCUAAUGGGCCCUACGAAUGCUGAUUUAGCCUACUUAACCCAAAUUUUACAAGAAUACUAACCGUGUUAACGUGCAACUUUUCCAAAUUCCAUUUUCUAUCAAUUCUACCCAAAUGGGUCCGAAAGCCCAUUGGGCCCAAUUUUAGCCCAUUGAGGCCCAACUUACCAUCGUGCACAAAAUUGAGUUCUUACCUGUUCCAUCGAUCCAAACACCAAUCUUAUCGUAUUUAUCGCAUCUACCCAAAUGCAACAUUACAAGUUCCCAAAAUACCAGUAUUUUAGCAUUUCAGCUUCUCAGCAAAUAUUAAUCUAAGCUUCUACGAGGGUUAGUACACACCUGUUACGGGUUGAAGUUGAAACGUUUCCAAAAUCAAUUGCCUACGAUAACCACCACCUUUCACUCAAACUUAACUAAUCCAAUAUCAAUAUAUGUAAAUCCUAAGCACAUCGGUCAUAUGGAACAUAAGGGCAUAUUCGUCAUUUUACCAUACAGGGGUAUUACAGUCACUUUACCCUACAGGGGCUUUACGGUCUCUUUACCCUACAGGGGCUUUACGGUCUUUUUACCUAAUAGGGGUAUUUUAGUCAUUUCAUCCUACAAUGGUGUUUUGGUAAAUCUACAAACCAAGGGUAUUUCAGUAAUUUUGUAAACCAAUAGUAUUUCCAUAAUUUUUAGAAAGUCAAGGGUAUUUCUGUAACUUUGUAAAUCAGGGGUAUUUUGGUAAUUUUACAAAUUGAGGGUAUUUCAGUAAUUUCACAAACUAGUGGUAUUUUGGUAAUUUUACAAACUAGGGGUAUUUUGGUAAUUUUACAAAUUGAGGGUAUUUCGGUAAUUUUACAAACCAAGGGUAUUUUAGUAAUUUUACAGACUAGGUAUUUUGGUAAUUUUACUGAUCGAGGGUAUUUUGGUAAUUUUGUAAACUAAGGGUAUUUUAGUAAUUUUGUAAAUCGAGGGUAAAACAGUAAUUCUAUAAAUUAAGGGUAAAAUAAUAAUUCCAUAAAUCAAGGGUAAAAUGGUAAUUCUAUAAAUCGAGGGUAAAAUGGUGAUUCUAUAAAUUAAGGGUACUUUGGUAAUUUUACAAUUUGAGGGUAUUUCAGUAAUUUGGUAAACUAAAGUAUUCUAAACAAGGAUAACAAUACGAAUGGGCCUAAAGCCUAUUCUCGGCCCAAAUAGGCCCACACGCUCAUGUGGCCCUUUUAGCCCAAAUCUAGCCACAGAUAUGAGAUUCACUUAGCCUAGUUUAAUAUUUACUACACAAUAAACAACUUAUCCAAUUGGGCCCGUAGGCCCAUUGGGCCUACAUGACCCCUUUCAGCCCAUCACGGCCCGAAGUAGCCAUCCUACAACUAGAGUAGCGAGAAAUACAUACCUGAUUGGCGACUGGAGUUAAUCCAAGCUCCGAGCACUCUUAGCCGACGCCCAACCCAAACGAGCACGCCAUACAGCGAAAGGGAUUAGCCAAGAAAGGUACCUUUACUCUCC
rnacentral:lncRNA from 1 species